rnacentral:rRNA from 1 species
GAUGAACGCUAGCGGCAGGCUUAAUACAUGCAAGUCGAACGGUAACAGGUCCAGCAAUGGAUGCUGACGAGUGGCGCACGGGUGCGUAACACGUAUGCAACCUACCUUUAACUAAGGAAUAGCCCCGAGAAAUCGGGAUUAAUACUUUAUACCAUUAUGAAAUGGCAUCAUUAUAUAAUGAAAGCUUCGGCGGUUAAAGAUGGGCAUGCGCGACAUUAGCUAGUUGGUAAGGUAACGGCUUACCAAGGCUAUGAUGUCUAGGGGUUCUGAGAGGAUUUACCCCCACACUGGUACUGAGAUACGGACCAGACUCCUACGGGAGGCAGCAGUAAGGAAUAUUGGGCAAUGGACGAAAGUCUGACCCAGCCAUGCCGCGUGCAGGAUGAAGGCCUUAUGGGUUGUAAACUGCUUUUAUACGGGAAAAAACCCUUCGACGUGUCGAAGGCUGAUGGUACCGUAAGAAUAAGCAUCGGCUAACUCCGUGCCAGCAGCCGCGGUAAUACGGAGGAUGCAAGCGUUAUCCGGAUUCAUUGGGUUUAAAGGGUGCGCAGGCGGAAUGUUAAGUCAGUGGUGAAAGCCUACAGCUCAACUGUAGGACUGCCAUUGAUACUGACAUUCUUGAGUAUUGUUGAGGUAGGCGGAAUGUGUCAUGUAGCGGUGAAAUGCUUAGAUAUGACACAGAACACCGAUCGCGAAGGCAGCUUACCAAGCAAUAACUGACGCUCAUGCACGAAAGCGUGGGGAUCAAACAGGAUUAGAUACCCUGGUAGUCCACGCCGUAAACGAUGAUCACUCGAUGUUGGCGAUACACAGUCAGCGUCUUAGCGAAAGUAUUAAGUGAUCCACCUGGGGAGUACGGUCGCAAGAUUG